GACGAACCGUGCGAACGUUGUUCGGAAUCACUGGGCUUAAAGGGUGUGUAGGCGGGCUGUCAAGUCCGGGGUGAAAUCCUCCAGCUCAACUGGAGAACGGCCUCGGAUACUGAUGAUCUUGAGGGGGAUAGGGGCACGCGGAACUGUGGGUGGAGCGGUGAAAUGCGUUGAUAUCCAUAGGAACUCCGGUGGCGAAAGCGGCGUGCUGGGUCCCUUCUGACGCUGAUACACGAAAGCCAGGGGAGCGAACGGG
rnacentral:rRNA from 1 species